UUGCUCGGGCGUGCUCAGGAGCGACGCGGCAAGGCGGCACCACCAUGUUGUUGUCACUUCUCCUUGGUCCCUACCCAAAUUGAUGGGGUUCCUCACGAGGAAGCAAGGCUGACAUGACAUUGAUGAAACACCAUGGCUAAUGGUUCGUUAGUUCAGCACCUGCGAUUCAUAACUGGAUGUGAAUCACUCACGUUUUGUUCUCAUCUGUGCAAAACACGAGUGGAUUGAGGUCUUUGCUUUCUUGUAGGUAAAAUGGAAAGCUCUUGAUGCUCAGAUCUAUUUUUUUUUGCAUGUUGGUUCGUUCUCUUAGAUGCAGAUUGAAAAAAUGUUUCCAUUUUGUGCUUAGAUGCUAUCUUGUUUUCAACAUACAAGGAAACAUGUGAGGCUAGCCAUGUUGCUUCUUA